AGUUUUUCUUGGAAGAUUCCUGGGCCCCAUGGGAAAAUUCUAAGCACUGAACCAUCUGAGGGAGUAAUCUUGCCAAAUGAAAAGCAGGCUCACUUGUUACACUUCAGUCCUCUUGCAGAAGAAAAAUACUUGAUAAAAACAAAGCUCACUGUCAAAGAGUUACAGAAUGAUGUAUCACAACAGCCACCAGAUGAAAAGACCUACCUAGUUAGAGUAAUUGGGGAAGGAUCCAUUGGAGAAAUUGUGGUAUGGGUACAGCAUCUACUAUUGCAUGAG